CCCUGCCGGUUGCGCUCUGUGCCGCGGACGCCCAGGCGCGCCGGCUCGGACCCGGGCCGGUCUACAACCCGAAGUGCGGCCUAUGCUCCCAGAGGGCGUCCAGCCCGCCCCGCUCCUCCGCCGCCUCCUCCUCUUCUAGCCUAGCCCGUCUGUCUCGGUUUCCAGAACUCGACAGCUUCCGAAGAGGCGCAUUCCGUCCAUCAUCUCCCUGAUUCUUGCCGCCUCCCCUUAGGAAGGGGGACCCCUUUCAGGGCCUGAGAGUGGGCUCUUGUCUAACACUUGGAAAUGAAUGGUCUUAGAAGACACGCAUCUUGACAAGAGACUUUAUUGUGAAGGAGCGCCUGGGAGAGAGCAGCAGGUCAGCAUCAUAGAGGAUUUUGAAAGAAAUACUGGAACACCAAAGAAGAACUUCUUGGACUUCCAGCAUCCCACCCAAGUAACAUUCCAAGACACCCUGAUGACUUCUGCCAGACAGCUCACUCGCAUUUCAAAGUCUAAACCAACCUUCCCUCCUUCCCUUGCCCUGCCAACUCCUAUGGAACCCCCAGAGUUGGUGAGGGGAGUGAUCCCAUCUCCUAAAAAGGCCCUCAAGUAUUCAAGGGAGAGGGAAGCCCAGGACUGGAGCUUUUCUGAGACCAAAGCAACAAAGUAGUCCAGGAGAACAUGCUGCCUGGUGCCCCUCCAGCCUACUCCCUUCCUCCCUGGGGUCCCCUUCUCCAGGGCACCCUCUGGAUGUACAGCGGGGCAUGAAAGCCAUUAAGCUAUGACAUGGCCCUCCAUGAUUGCUACCAGUCUUGCCUUCACUGUUUAGGCUUUUUGUCUGGAGCCAUGACAUUUCCUACUUUAACUAAACUUGAUCACUUCCAUUCCCGGGUAAAGACCGGCCCUUAUACACAUGUUACCAAAACGUAUGUGUGGGAGGGUCUGGCUGCUUGCCGCCCCAAAGCCAAUAAACAGGCCAGGUUGGUGGAAAGGAAAGUUUGCUUUAUUUCAGAUAUUGGCAACUGGGGGGAGAGGAUGGCAGACAUCUGUCCAAAGGCUGAUUCACCACUCCUGACAAGCAGGGGUGAGAGCUUUUAUAGAAAGAUGGUGGGGGGCUGGGGGGGGG